rnacentral:rRNA from 1 species
GAUGAACGCUGGCGGCGUGCCUAAUACAUGCAAGUCGAGCGAAUGGAUUAAGAGCUUGCUCUUAUGAAGUUAGCGGCGGACGGGUGAGUAACACGUGGGUAACCUGCCCAUAAGACUGGGAUAACUCCGGGAAACCGGGGCUAAUACCGGAUAACAUUUUGAACCGCAUGGUUCGAAAUUGAAAGGCGGCUUUGGCUGUCACUUAUGGAUGGACCCGCGUCGCAUUAGCUAGUUGGUGAGGUAACGGCUCACCAAGGCAACGAUGCGUAGCCGACCUGAGAGGGUGAUCGGCCAAACUGGGACUGAGACACGGCCCAGACUCCUACGGGAAGCAGCAGUAGGGAAUCUUCCGCAAUGGACGAAAGUCUGACGGAGCAACGCCGCGUGAGUGAUGAAGGCUUUCGGGUCGUAAAACUCUGUUGUUAGGGAAGAACAAGUGCUAGUUGAAUAAGCUGGCACCUUGACGGUACCUAACCAGAAAGCCACGGCUAACUACGUGCCAGCCGCCGCAGUAA